GGAUGUGAGGGUGAUCUGGCUGUGACAUCUAUCACCCCAUUGAUCACCAGGGUUGAUUUAGCUGAUCUGGCUGGCUAGGCGGGUGUCCCCUUCUUCCCUCACCACUCCAUGUGUAUUUCUCCUGAAGAUGCACGCUCUGUCAAAGAGGACCAAGAGGACGCAGAGGUCAAAGAGGACGGUCCAAUAGAGACGGACUGGUCUUCAGUCAAGGGUAUAGGGGUAGCUGCGCUCCCCUGCUAGAACUUCCAAACAAGCUCUCAAGGAGUCUGCCUUCAAGACUUUUUUGAGGGGUGUGGGUGAUGGUGCAACAAGGACCCAGUUUAAGCCCCUGGUCCUCACCUUCAGGGAGGAAGCUUCACAAGUGGUGAAGCAGGGCUGCAGAUGUCU
rnacentral:snRNA from 1 species